AACGCGAAGAACCUUACCUAAGCUUGACAUCCUUUUGACCGAUGCCUAAUCGCAUCUUUCCCUUCGGGGACAGAAGUGACAGGUGGUGCAUGGUUGUCGUCAGCUCGUGUCGUGAGAUGUUGGGUUAAGUCCCGCAACGAGCGCAACCCUUGCCUUUAGUUGCCAUCAUUAAGUUGGGCACUCUAGAGGGACUGCCAGGGAUAACCUGGAGGAAGGUGGGGAUGACGUCAAAUCAUCAUGCCCCUUAUGCUUAGGGCUACACACGUGCUACAAUGGGUGGUACAGAGGGCAGCCAAGUCGUGAGGCGGAGCUAAUCCCUUAAAGCCACUCUCAGUUCGGAUUGUAGGCUGAAACUCGCCUACAUGAAGCUGGAGUUACUAGUAAUCGCAGAUCAGAAUGCUGCGGUGAAUGCGUUCCCGGGUCUUGUACACACCG
rnacentral:rRNA from 1 species